GGCUAAUUUUCAGUUGGAGCAAAGAUAUAAACUAAGUAAAUAAAUAAAAGCCUUAGCAAAAUUUUGUUCUUUACAUCUAGAAGGUGCUUGGGGAAAAAAAAAAAAAAAAAAGUGAUCCACAGGAAAGAAGAAGGCUCAAGGAACAAGAGCAAGAACACCUAAGUUUAACACGAUGAAAUAAAACAAGGCUCAGGGAAGAAGCUAUAACCAGCAAAACUCUCAGAGGAGUUCCUCAGAGGAGGUACCCAGGUCUCACUGUUUCAGACAGUAAGAUGACAGGGCGUCAGCAGGAGCACCAGUCUUAGUUCUAGUUCCAUGCUGUCAGCAGUGAUUAAAGCAUAUGAUCCCCCUUCCCACACGGAUUUAUCAAGACCACCAAGCUACUGCAUGGAUAGCACUACAAAUACUUCAUCAGCCAUGAGCCGGCAAAAUGAGAUUCUGCAUUGAAGCCAAACCUUAACAACUGAGACUUAAGAAUAAUUCAAAUUUAGAACAACUUCAAAUCAUAUUUUCAGUGCCUUCUCCUCACCCAGUUCAGUUGCAUUUCUGAAACCCAGGUCACUCAUACAUUAUCACUCCAAAACAAGCCACCUCCCACCCAUGCAACCUUUUAAGAAGACUUUGCCCUUAUACAAGCUACCUCCAAUAAGCCUUUUAGAUUCCAAGAAAUUCUAAAACAUCAGUGAAUGCUGUCCCAAAACUUCAGUAGCAUGUUACGGAUGUGGUUUGGUCAGCAAGUGAGGGGCAAGGACAAGGCAACAGCAUCCAUAUCCAGUAAUCCCUUGGCAAAGGUGCUCCCCUGCCCCUGCAUUGUCUGCCAGAUUUGAUCCAUCCAACUUCUGAAAAUAAGUUAAAGCACAAAGCAUAAGGAUAACAAGGGUGCUGUGCAGACCAGGCAAGAACUGCAGGAGCUUGAAAGGUCAGGCAACUUUCUUGGAGCACCAAGGGUGCAACCACGGCUCUGAGGUAAGCUCCAGGUGGUGGGAAGGGAAAUGUGCAGCAAGCGUGUCUCACCUUCCGUUCCUCCAUGACAGGCCAUAAAAGUCACAAGACACCAAUGAGCAAAGCAGAGAGAAAAACAAGGUGUCCAGAGUUCAAAUGCAGCCCUGAGACACUAGGGCCUCUGAAGUCCACAGUCCAGUGACCAGCGCAAGACCUGACUCCCAUGAGGGAGGCACAGCAGCGAUGUAGAAAAGUGCUACGGCUGCCGGGGCCGGGCCCACAUUUCUAUCUCUACCUGUGAAGGACAGGAACAUCAAGAAAAGGCUGCUAGGGGCCUCCCAAGGAUACAAGCUCCUUUCUCCUCCUCCCUGUGGACACCGGAGCGGAUGUCCCCGCACCUGGCUCCGCGGGGCUUCCCCGAACAGCAAUUCCCCACACGCUCACCCACACCUACGCGCAUCGGGCCGAGCCCCGCGUCCCAGUCGAGCGCAGCAGGCCCGUCGUCCCACCGCAGGAUAAGGGCAACAGCAGAGCCAGCGUACUUGCCCCCUGUCGUCUCUGGUUCCAGAAAGACAAGCUGUGGCACUUCCUUUUUUCACAACCUUCUUCAUUACCCGAGUCUCUCUUCCUGCUGCUUAAGGGCUCUUCAAGUUUAAGAAGAAAGUUCUUCCUGCAGACCAGCUGGAUGAGGGACCUCCAAACUUGGCCUCCUGGGAUGGAGAGGGACAUUUUUGCUAGCAGGCCUAUUGGUAGGCCAGAUAUCCUGAGGUUCAUUGCGAGCCCUAGAAAUAAAUGACUGCAAGUGAAAGGUACCUGUCUGGAAGAGAAGAACUACAUUCCCCAGGGGGCUUUGCAGUCAGAGAGGAGAUAUAACCUCUGGCAAAGUCACCUGAUGUCUCUUCUUCCUUCGGCUCUCCUCACUGUUGCUCGUCCUGACCUCACACAUUGCCUCAGCACUACUGGAGUUUGGGCUGCUUCCAAAGUCAUUGGCACUGAAAUGCAGAUCCUUCCGGCACCUCGACUGCCAGUGCUGAACUGGAUGUUUAAAGGAAAGGUUCCCUCCACCCAUCAUGCUACUGAUGCUACCUGGGGCAAGUGGAUUGUGUUGAUUAUGCAAGGAGCUCGGAUGGGGAACCUCAUCCAUCCAGGAAUCCUAGAGGUGAUCAUGGACUGGCCUGAAGGUAAAAAGUUUGGAGUGUCACCAGCAGAAGAGGUAUCACAAGCUAAAGAGGCCCCACUGUACAAUGAACUACCAGAAAAUGAAAAGAAAUAUGCCCUGCUCACAGACGGAUCGUGUCGUACUGCGGGGAAGCAUCGCAAAUGGAAAGCUGAUGUGUGGAGCCCCACAUGACAAGUUGAAGAGGCCACUGAAGGAAAAGGAGAAUCAAGCCAAUUUGCGGAGGUAAAAGCUGUCCAGCUGGCCUUAGAUGUUGCUAAAUGGGAGAGGUGGCCAAUGCUUUGUCUUUAUACUGACUCAUGGAUGGUGGCAAAUGCCUUAUGGGGGUGGUUACAGCAGUAGGAACAAAACAACUGACUAAGAAGGGGUAAACCUAUUUGGGCUCCUGAGCUGUUGGAAAGAAAUUGCUGCCCAAAUAAAAAAUAUGGUUGUAAAAGUGUGUCACGUAGAUGCUCAUGUACCCAAGAGGCGGGCUAUUGAAGAGCAACAGAACAACCAUCAGGUAGAUCGAGCUGCCAAAAUUAAGGUGGCUCAGACAGACUUGGACUGGCAACAAAAGGGUGAAUUAUUUCUAGCUCAGUGGGCCCAUGAGACCUCGGGCCAUCAAGGAAGAGAUGCAACAUAUAAGUGGGCUAGAGACUGAGGGGUGGACUUAACUAUGUACGCUAUAGCACAAGUUAUUCAUGACUGUGAAAUGUGCCAUUAUUAAACAAGGCGAGAGGACGAAAACUCUCUGGGAGGAACAGCAAUGGCCUACUGCCCCUCUGUCACGGGCAUAGAUUUAUCUACAUUGAUCUAGAUAACUCCGUGACAGGGGUGUGAGGCAUUAAGAAUCCCCUGCUGAUAUACAGUGUUGGACUACAGAAAGACAAAAGAAUACAGUGGAGUUAGUAUACUGUUUCUGUAUCACAGCAUCACCUUUGGUAGUUCUAUUGCUGGAACUGUGAUGGCCUAGAACAAUAUAUUUACCUAGUGGGACUGAAGGACUUCUCCCCCACCCUUCCAUUGAGACUGUCAAAACACUGGUCCUUGGGAGAUUUGGUAAUACUAUGGAGCUGCACAUCUUACUCCCUGCAAGGGACUGACUGCCAGGCGGAGUUUGAGGCGGAUAUCUGUGGCCUGGGCCAGGAAUAGAUCCUACAGGAGAUGAUGUGUGCCUGAGCUUGCUUCUACCCGUUGUUCAUGGCAAUUUUGAGGACAGUAGGCCACUCCUGUGAAGGUGAUUUCAGAAACACGUGCUCACUUUUCUACUACUAAAUGUGGGGGCUAUUAAAAGAUUAUUAUUAUUAUUAUUUUAAUUAGGGCCUUUCAGAGAGGUAUCAUGGACAGCCUAGAUGCAUUUUGGUCUUGUGCCACCAUGGGUCAGAAAAGAAUCUGUAUUUUCAAGGACUAAAAAAGGCCACUGAUAUUAAGGAUCAAAACUGCCUAAGAGUCGGGUUAGAGCAACUCCUGUGGAAGUCUGCAAUCAGCACUGUGCUCUCAAGGUAGGUCCUAUCAAGCUGUGUUAUGCUGGCCAGUACUGCGCAGAUUCUUAGGAUAAGAAUAACAUAUACUUUGGCCUGAUUUGCUAGGUGAGUGGUGGAAGAGGCAAAGCCCAAGGGAGAAUGGUUUCUCUUCUUGUUGUCAAAAAUUUGCUUAUAGGAUUUGCUUCCUGUCCCCAACAAUCCCUCUUAAGGACAGCUUCCUUAGACUAGGGCUGAUUCCCUGUCCACAGACAGAGCAAGCAUCUAGUUGCAGCCCCACACACCUCGUUGAUUGUGAGAGGUAGAUUGAGGUUUUGCAGUAGAAAAAACUUCUAGCACUAAGGUAUAGGCCUUUACUAAACUUUCUUACAAAAUGGAUGCACGGGUUGUUGUUCACAAUGAGAUGUUGAGGCAGAGCUUAAUAUAAGCUAGAAUGAGUCUGCCAGUUAUUCUGUUUUUCAGAACAUUCUGACCAGGUGGGUAAACACUGAUACUACCUAUGGAGGAUAGGCAGGAUAGCAAGAGCCUAGUAUACACUGUGAAACUUGUGAUGCAAUUAAACAAGCCAAGAGGACGAAACCUCUCUGGGGGGAAGGGCAAUGGCAAAAGCGUAAAUAUGGAGAGGUGUGGCAGGUUGAUUAUAUCAUCUUGGCACAAUCUCGCAAUGGUAAGCUUUAUGUGCUUACCAUGGUGGAAGCAACCACUGGGUGUCUUGAAACAUAUGCAGUACCCGAUGCUUUGAAAAAUGAAAAACGACAGGUGAGUGAUAAACCUUAUAUGGAAACAUACCUUAGCAACUGUGUCUAGUAGGUUGUGCGUCUGAGAUGCUUAGCCAAUGAGCAACAGGAGAGAUGUCACAUACUUAGUAGAAAGGGUAUAAAAUAGUGUAAUUUCACUGAUUAAGCUCACAAUUUCUUCCUUACCACAAGGUGGCGUGCGCCCGCUAAUGCAGUAACGAAUAAACUUGGCCACCUCACGAAGAUCUGCAUCUGAUCAGAAAUAAUUGAUUUUGAGUGUUUCUCACACUGCUGGCAUGAGGCAAUAUGACUCUUGUGCACCAAAAUGAACAAGCAGCUCUUGCCCUCUUCUGGGGCUAGAAUCUCAGAGGUUUUGUUUUUAAAAAGUUGAAACUAUAAGAAAAUGGUAGGUGUUGGCACUCUCACAGAAAGCCUUAAUAGUAACCCAGUGUAUCUGCAGGGCUCAUGAAGGACAAAUUUCCAAAGCCACUUCACCAACAUACAGGAACACGUGUAAAAGUAUAUUUGUGUUAACAUUACCUCUCCUGGCUGCAGGGAGGAGGCAACACCUUCCCAAUACAGGGCAGCGUGUUAUUAUAUACAGAAGCUGAGGGAGCACCUCAAGGAUACCUCUCAUGCAAGGACACUGGGGAGGAACAUUUUUCAGCUUUGUCCACCUCUGCAAAAGCCGAACUUAUGAAAAUGUAUGUGCUUAUGUCAUAAAUAACUGCCUUGUUAUGCAUAAUGAUAUGCACAACAAAACAGAACAAAACAAAAAAAAGCCAGGUGGCAGGGAGAAUUUCUGUAGCUUUAAGUACCUGAUACUACAGCCAUUCAAGAUUCUCUUAAUUUAGGACAAGGAUGCUAGUGUGCAGUUUUCUAAUUAACUGGGAAUCAUCUAUAUACGUGCAUGAGACAGAUUAAUUUGUUUGUGGGAUGCAUUUUGUGUCUAUCCAACAGAGGCAAAGAAACUGAAGGGCUGGUCUGAGUCAUAAGCAGCACUGACCUAUACCACAGGAAACAAUACUUAGAUGGACAACAUCACAAGUGGAUCUUAGGUAGGAAGCAGCACUGCUGGGAGUAGCAGGAAUAUGCAGGAUGGGACUAAGGCAGCACAGGGGAAGGAGUCUGGAUGUCAUCCUCCUCCCCUGGCUGCACAUGCUAAGGUGCUGCAGCUGCCUGCCUGGGUGUAUGUGCAAUUCUUUCUGCACCCAGCUGCUACACAG
rnacentral:lncRNA from 1 species